CAACUCUCAUCUCUUGUCUCUUCACCUCUUAUCUCUCUCUCUCUAGCUAGUCUCCACAAGCUCUAUGCCUCAAGUCGAUCAUGAAGCCUUCGCCGAUGACCCGAAAACUCGACCUUACAACUCCGCCGCGAGUCCGGCUGAUUUUCCGCCGGAAUCUUAUUUCUUGUCCAAAGAUGCUCAGCUCGAGUGGCUCACCGACAACGCCUUCUUCGACCGUAGAGAAUCGCAUAGAGGAAACUCAGUGAAUAAUAUCAACUCGAACCCUAGCUCUCAACGGUACUCCAAAGCGUCCAUCAUCGGUUUGCCGAAGCCGCAGAACACGUGCUUAAACGAGGCCAAGCAGCGGAGAAACGUCGGCAAAACCGAUAAAAACAAGAACCGUACGGGGUUCUUGAAACGGGUCGGGUCACGAACGAAGACGGAUCUUUCGCUUCUUCGCGAGCCUUCUUCUCCUAAUGUCUCGUGCAUGGGUAGAGUGAGAUCCAAAAGAGAACGUAGCCGCCGUAUGCAACGUCAAAAAUCGGUUCGACCGGAGAAGCCAAACCGGGUCAAGAAACCCGGGUUUAUGGCGAGUUUCAGAGCUAUCUUUCGUAUAGGAGGCGGCUGCAAACACGCGCCAUCCCGUGGGACGCACACACCGCCGAGUAGGGCACGUGGUGACAUCAGGAGCCGGCUUCCACCGGAAAAUGUUGAACCGGGAGCUUCCGGUUUGGGUGGGAUGACCCGGUUCGCUUCCGGAAGAAGAGGGGAUUUGUUAGGUGGGGUUGUUGACGUGUCGUGACAAGUGUAAUGUUAGUGAUUGGUUGGUUUUGGUGGGACCUGUUUUAACUGUUGUUGUGUUUGAAAUAUCGUUGGCGCUGACGCGGCAAAGUGGUGUAACGUUCAUCAGGAACACGGCAACGCGAUGGCGGUGAUUCUUACCCCACCAACCACACUUUGUAAUGUUUAUGUAGAUUUUUAUUUCACAUUAUAAUCAUUGAUAUUUCUUUUUUUUUUGUUAUUGUAAAUUGUUAGAGAAACACAUUUGUAUUUAUUGAUCAGACAAAGCAUACUUCUACCACCACUAGACUAAUGGUAAUUUCAGUUAUAUUAUUAGAGCGAAGGAAGUCAAAUUAGCAAUCAAGCAGUUCAUGGAAAAUAUUCGAACAUCUUGUGAAGCUUUUGACUCUUUCACAAAGAUUAAGUUGAAAAGAAAAUCUGCAACUUAAUCUUUGUGAAAGAGUCAUCAAAACCUUCACAAGAUGUUGAAUAUUUCACAAGUUGUAGAAAGAUUAAUUAAGUUGUAGAUUUUCUUUUCUCUCUUUUCAAAAAAAAAAAAGAUUUUCUUUUCUCGUUCCAAUCAUUGAUGUACAUUUUUCUUGAGAAAUAAUUCAAUUAUUUAGUUGAUUAACAAUUGUGAUUGACCACUAGACUAAUAUUUUCCCUAUGUUUGAAUGGUUUAUUUUUUUAUUUUCCAAUAAUGAUAUUAAUACCAUUUUUCUUUCUCACACAUAUUAAAUAUAAUUUAAUUAUUUUUUCAAAUGUUUUUCUUUAAUUCAUUUUGAAAAACAAAAUAGAUUAAUUAAAGUAUAAAAUCUCAAUUUUUUAAAUACAAUAAAAAAUCGAAAACAUUAAUCUUAUGAAUAAAAAAUAGUAAUCUUUGAGGAGUGUUCUUUGUUUGUGAUGCCAAAGCGACAAAGUCUUUGUGAUGCCAAGGCACUUCCAAAGGUUACAUCCACACGUCCCUUGCCUGAUUCUUGAUCCUCUCUAUAUCAUCCAUCACCGUCACUCCUCUCACAUAAGUUACUGGAAUCUGUCAGGGGCAUCUAUUUCUAUGUUUUCCAUUGAAGCAUAACAACUAAAUUCAAUGGUUUUACUAACAUCAAAAACAUCAUCAGUUUGCUCAAGCGAGUAGAGCACAGUUGAUUUUUGAAAAUGGGUGUGUUGCUCACCGGUGAGUAGUUGACAUGUUUUAUCUUCAAGUAGAGCACUGUUUUGUUUUGUAGUAGUAUUGUUUAUGUACAUUUUUCGCAUUUCAAUCAUCUAAGUAUAUAUAUAUUUUUGGUCAAAAAUCAUUUAAGUAUAUUCUUUUUCUUGCUUGCGUUGUAAAUUUUUAAAGAAGUCCGGUUUAGCUUAACCAAUGAGACUUCCGUUUCUUCUCUUGUCACUUGUAUCUAUAAGCUUAGACCAAAGCAAUCUAUCAAAACACAUUUGAUGUUGACAAAUAUGAGAUAUGAAUUGAAACCAAGUCAGGUUAUUUUUUGUUAUAACACUUUUAAAAAUCUUUUCUUUCAACAUUUAGAUUGAUGCAAGUAGAUUUGUUUAUAGGCUUCACAAGAGCCACAAAGAGAUAAAACAGGACAAAUAAAAUAGUGUUUCUACAUCUGAUUCCAUAUAAUUGGUGUACAUAGGGAAUGGAGUUAAGCAGAAACCACUUAGGGAAUGGAGUUAAUUCAUAAGUAAAAAAAUCGACAUAAAGAUCCAUAAUGAGCUGAAAAGGAUGAUCAAGUGUGAAAGCAACAGAUGUAAAUAUCCGCCACCACGAAUAGUUCCCUUAAAAUAAUAGCAAGCCGACACUUAAGAAGCUGGCCAGGACUCAGGACGACAAAUAGACCUCACACCCAGCAAAAUCCACAUUCACCAAACCAUGAACCUGAAAAGCGAAAGACAAAUAAGAUAGCUGUUAAAGCAUUUGCUAUGACAUUAGCUUAGAUUAAAGAGACCAUAUCUGAACCAUAAAGAGCCUCUUCUUUGCUCUCCCUAGCAGCAUUCAUACACAAAUCUCGAGAUUUCCUCCAUACUCGGUAAAAACCCACAGAACAUGAGUUAUAUUGUGGGUUUUGGGGGGAGUGGUACUCAAAAUAUAACUCAUAUUCUGAAGGCUUUUACCGAGUAUGUAAUCAAUCAUUUUACUAUGUUUUGCUCUGAAAGUAAAAAAAGAUAAUUGCGAUCUUGAGAUCUGAAGUGACGUAGGGCAUGAGUAUGGAAGAGAAGAAACCUUUGUUAAAGAUAGAGAGAGAAGCUGUUUAAAACGAGAUCAUAGAAUGGACAAACCAAGAGGAAGGAUUUGUGAUGGCUCUCCUAGUGUUGGUUGGGACAUUUAUUCUGUUGUUGUCAAAGAGAUAAGAUGAUAUGUGUGGUAGAGAAAGAAAGAAACAAGAUACGAGGAGAGAGUGUUAGGCAAUGAUUAUAAUCAAACAUCAUCACAAUCACAAGGUAGGCCUCGCAUUUUAACCUGAAAAUCCGUACUGGAACCGACCCGAAGAUAUCCGAUCCGAAACCGAACCGAAAUUUUACAAGUAUUUUUGGGUCUAAAUUUAUUUUACCGGAAAAAACUGAAAGGAACCAACCCGAAUAAAUCCGGACCUGAAAAGAACCGACCCGAAUAUAUCCGACCUGAUAAGAACCGAUUUGUACCCGAGUUAAAAACAUAUAUAUCCAAAACUAUGAUUUUUUGUGUUCUAUAUAUAUUAUUUUAUUUUUUAGUUGAAAUAUUUUUUGUUAAUAACACUUGUUAUUAUUUUGUAACAUUUUUUAAGUAAUAUGAAUCUUUGAAAUAUAAAUUUAGAGUUUAAAAAUGUUUUAUUUUAGUUAUUAAUAGUUUCAUUUAAGUUAUUUUGUAAAAAAUUUAGAUAUAUAUGACAAAUAUCGACUAAAUUUGAUUGAGUUGGAUAUGUCAAGUCUUUUUCAUAUCCUAAAUAUCCGAAUACGAGUCGUACCGAUGUGGACCCGAAAAAUUACGGGUAUUUUAUGGAUAUUUUAAUUAUAGAUCCAAAUCAACCCGAAUCCGAGAAGAACCGACCCGAACCUGAACCAAAAAUUUAUAAAUACCUAUUGGUCCAAAUGUUUAGGAUCCGAAAGACCCGAAUCAAAAAUUUCUAAGUACUUAUUGGGUCCAAAUGUUUAGGACCCAACCCAAAAGUAACCGGCCAAAACCCAACGGAAGAUCCGAACCCCAGGCCUAUCACAAGGUCACAACAGCUUAAGUGUGUUGAGUGUUAUAUUUUUCUAACGCGCGCGAUAUAAAGUGGUCAACCACUGCUGAUAAUACAGAUUUGCAGUUCAUACAUAAGAGACUUUUGUUUUAUUUUUUGAAGUCAAAGAGACAUCACAUAACAAAUCAUCAUAAUAUCACAUCUCUAAAACAAAAACCUAUUGAUCACAUCACAUAACAAAUCAUCAUAAUAGCACAGCAGGUAGGCAUCAUUACACACCCACACAAAUCUUGAUCAUACAUAAAAACAUCUUCCUGUAAUCCCAAAGAGACAACGUUGCUCUGCAGAUAGUGAUCAUAUAUCUCAGACUUAUUAGACUCUAGGAUAGCGAGAGCUGCCUUUCUUCUUCAAGAACUCUGGAAUCUCCACCGAACCACCAUCUCUAAAGGAGGAAGAAGGUCUUCUUGUACCUCCAGUUGAGGCAGUAUCUGCUUGUGCCAUCUGAGCCGCCCUUCCUUCUCCUUCCUCUUGUCGCUUAAAACCCGUUGCUAUGAGAGUUAUGCUCACCUUGUACCAAAAAACAAUCAAUUUCUACCAUCUCCAAAGGCCAUAUAAGUUAGUUAAAGACGAAUCAAAAAGGACAUACUUGACCGGUGAGGGAUGGAUCCACAACAGCUCCGAAUAUAAGAUUAGCAGUUGGAUCAACAAGAUCAUAUAUAACUUCCGCAGCAGCAUUUACCUACAAAGGGCACCAUAGUCUAAUGAGAAACAUGUAGACACCAAAUGAGAUAAAGAAACACAUAUGAGAGAGAGAGAGAGAGAGACCUCGAACAAUGUCAAGUCGGUUCCACCAGUGAUGUUCCAAACGAUCCCAGUGGCUCUCUCAAUGCCGAUAUCAAGCAAUGGUGAUUGGAUUGCGUUCAGUGCAGCAUCUCUUGCCCUACUCUUCCCUGCUUGAUUACCAAUUUACACUAGCACAUAAGACUAUAUAGUGGUUAUGAUAAAACUAUGCAGACCAAAGCUUUACCUGUUGCAGUUCCUAUCCCCAUCAGUGAAGAACCUGCAUUCGCCAUUAUAGCUCUCACAUCAGCAAAAUCCACAUUCACCAAACCAGGAAUCUGACAAAGCAAACACAAACUAUUAAAGCAUUUGCCCCACACACACAUAAAACAAUCACAUUAAAAAAGCCAUUACCGUAAUGAUAUCAGAGAUCCCACGAACUCCCUGACGAAGUAUAUCAUCAGCUAGAUUAAAAGCCUCCGUCACAGGAGUAGACUGAGAGACAGCCGUAAGCAGCUUAUCAUUCGGAAUAACAAUGAGAGUGUCAACAUUGUCUCUCAGCGAAGCAAGCCCUUCUUGAGCCUGCACCGCUCUUUUUCUCCCCUCAAACGAGAACGGCGUCGUGGCAAUACCAACAGUCAGUAUCCCCAUCGCCUUAGCGAUUCCAGCUAUCACAGGAGCUGCUCCAGUACCAGUCCCACCUCCCAUUCCAGCUGUGACAAAGACCAUGUCUGAACCAUAAAGAGCCUCUUCAAUAGCUUCUUUACUCUCCUUAGCAGCGUUCAUACCAAUCUCCGGAUUCCCACCAGCGCCUAAGCCUCUAGUCAGCUCCUUACCAAUCUGCAGCCUGUUCUCAGACAAAACAGGAGACAUCCUCAUAGCUUGAAUGUCAGUGUUCACAAUCCAGAACUCCACUCCCAUCAUCUCGCUCUCUAUCAUACGGUUCACAGCGUUUGAUCCACCUCCUCCCACGCCGAUAACUUUAAUCCUCGCCUCAUUAUAGCCACUAGGAGCAGAGGGCUCGUCAAAGUCCUCGGUGAGAGGAACCACAGAACUAGUUUCUUUCCUGGGGUUGGAGACUGUGUUGGCUCCUCCUCCUUCUAAUCUGAACAAGAGCCUUCUGUGUUUCUUCAUUUCAUAUUAUAAAAAGAAACACCAACUCUCAUCUCUUGUCUCUUCACCUCUUAUCUCUCUCUCUCUAGCUAGUCUCCACAAGCUCUAUGCCUCAAGUCGAUCAUGAAGCCUUCGCCGAUGACCCGAAAACUCGACCUUACAACUCCGCCGCGAGUCCGGCUGAUUUUCCGCCGGAAUCUUAUUUCUUGUCCAAAGAUGCUCAGCUCGAGUGGCUCACCGACAACGCCUUCUUCGACCGUAGAGAAUCGCAUAGAGGAAAC
rnacentral:lncRNA from 1 species